rnacentral:lncRNA from 1 species
CUCUGCCGGUGGCCAGCGUCGAGCAUCUUGACAUGGAUCGUGUCGAGCGCAUACACCAAAUAUUCGAGUGCGCUUCCAUCGCGACAAAGGUACGAGUCGACCCAGCGUCCGUCCCGCGUCAACAUUUGGCGAGCGGCGUCGCGUAUGGCGUCUAUGCGGUUGGUCGCCUCUGUGGGCCAUCGCAGACACAGCCACAAGAGGCAGCGCGACACGUCGCACGUGUCGUCGGGCGUGGACGCCAACUCAAAGAUGCGGGCCAAGGUCAUGGGGGCAGCGCCGGACGCGAGCGGGUCGUAGGCCGUGGGGCCACCCAAAAGCCACGACAGCAGCGCCUCGGGGUGGCUCGAACAGGGAAACCAAUCGUCAUCGUACGAACGCUUGAGCGCCCCAUAGAGGAGCGCUGCGGUCAGUUGGGAAAGUGCAUCGGCGGAUCUCUGGCGCGCACGCUCCAUGAGCCACCUGGCGGUUUUGGUCGAUCGCCGGCUGUAUACGGUCUCGACGGCCAGAUCAUCGGGCAAGUCGUAUAGGCCUGCGGCGUCGAGCGCAGCCAGGAGCGCGACAUUGUCAUGUUCUAUGAGCGACAAGAGAGCGCAUUCAAUGUCAUCGGCAUCUUCACGCGGCCAGAGUUUGGACCACGCGCGGUCGAUCCUACCAGAGAAAACGUCGACAGCAUGGCGCGCCACACUGUCCUCCAUAUCGACGGUCUCGAAAACCCUAAACUCGGGCAUGUGUCUGAGUAGACAAUCAAACACCUCUGCGCUGAUGCCUUUGAGCGCCCACAUGCAGACUGAUGUGCGCGCACGCGCAGACAUUGUCCCAAAGACGCGAUCGACCAUCCAUGGCUGUCCGGAUCGGGCUGCCGACGCGACCAAAGAACUUGCCGCGUUCACGCAUUCGGCUGGUGUCGCCCUCUCCUCAACGAUGCGUAGGCCGUGGUCGACGAUGUCGGGGUCGAGCGAGAGCAUCAUCACCUCGCACUGGUCGGUCGCCGGCACGCACGUAACCAUCUCUGCAAAGGCGCGCUCGUAGUCGCUCGUCAUGAGGGCACCGGUUUGUUCCGCAUCUUUUGCACGCGCGACAGGACGCAAAUGGUAACAUUCGGCGAGCGCAGAUGCUUCAACGAUGCGACCUCGCGCCCAUGGCAACGCGGUGUCGAUGCACCAUAUGCGCUUGCGGCCGAGACGGUGCAACGUGAAUCUUUGCCAACCGCGACCAGUGGGCGCCGCCCGAUCGAUCAAGUCGCGCCAUUGUCGGCACACGCGGCGCGCCAUGCACCGGUAGGCCGGGUCGAGCCCAACAUCCGGGUCGGCGAGUAUGAUGGCCCACAGUUCGCGGUCGACAUAGACGCCGUGUACCUCCAUCUGUUUUCUCGCGCGGCAACUGUUUUUUUCUCUACAAACGCAACCCGACUUGUGCGUGCCACAACGCACCGCAACGGUGUGGAGCGGCAGUGACACGCUGUUCCGGUCGCUCCUUGCCGCUAUGUUUUUGUUUGUGCUUGGCGUGCUUCACGAGG